rnacentral:rRNA from 1 species
GACGAACGCUGGCGGCGUGCUUAACACAUGCAAGUCGAACGGUAAGGCCCUUCGGGGUACACGAGUGGCGAACGGGUGAGUAACACGUGGGUGAUUUGCCCUGCACUUCGGGAUAAGCCUGGGGAACUGGGUCUAAUACCGGAUAGGACCACUGCCUGCAUGGGUGGAGGUGGAAAGCUUUUGCGGUGUGGGCUGGGCCCGCGGCCUAUCAGCUUGUUGGUGGGGUGAUGGCAUACCAAGGCGACGACGGGUAGCCGGCCUGAGAGGGUGACCGGCCAGACUGGGACUGAGAGACGGCCCAGACUCCUAGGGGGGGCAGCGGCGGGGAAUGGUGCACAUGGGGAGCCAGCCUGAUGCAGCGACGGCGCGUGAGGGAUGCCGGCCUUCGGGUUGGAAACCUCGUUCAGCACCGACGAAGCGCAAGUGACGGUAGGUGCAGAAGAAGGACCGGCCAACGACGUGCCAGCCGCCGCGGUAA